AGGGUUGAUGGGACUUUUCGGAUCAAUGGAUUGCAUGUGCCGUUGGAAGCUUUGACUAAUGACUCGAGAUUCGCUAAUUCGCCCUUCCAGCGUAGCAAGUCAAUACAAAUGCUCACGAAAUCGUUGUUGUUGGUGAUUGUUUGAUCAGUGGAAACUGCUCCGACGGCGCCGCCUCCUUCCUCCGUGGAAGACAUUUUCAGGCUGAGCGGUUGGAAGUAAUAAAGAAGGUGAUUUUGUAAACUGCUUUUGGCUGAGUGAGUGAUGUUGGAGAAAAGGUGGCAAAAUGGCUACGAUGAUGACAAAUAUUUUAUAGCCUACAUGAUAAACAUAUAUGGGAAAUACUUAAGGUGUAAUUCAAAUUUACCCUUAGUGUUUAUAUUUUUACUAUAAUUUUAAUUUUUUAAUUAAAUUUAUUUCUCUUUUGAAAGAGUCAAUGAUAAAAAAAGAAAAGAAAAGUUAAAUUAAUGUUUUUUAACAAAAAUAGUAACAAAUAUUAAAAUUGUGAAUAACAUUAUAGAACUUAAAUACUCAACGCAACUCAAGAAACUAAUGGUGGGUCUGGAUGGGCAGUGCGGUGCGGUGCGUUUAGCCUACUUUUUGUCUCAUGCUACAGUGUUGCUACAGUAUCUAAUCUCACCGCCACCACUGUUUUUACACUAACCACAGGUAAACGCACCGUCCAUCCAAACUCACCCUAAGACCCUAUCAAAGGGAGAAUUUUAUAUCUACAACACUUCCUAAAUUUCAUUAGCUUAAUAAUAGCUAUUCAAUUUUUUUUUUCAUUUUUUUACUUAAAUUAUUUUUACUUACUUUAUAUUAGAUAAAUUAUUCCAAAUAUUUAAUAUUUUACAUAUAAUAAUUGCAUUUGUUAUUCUACCUAACUCAUGAAAAAUCUCAAUUUUGCAACAUCACAUGCCAACCAACCAAUUUAUUAUUCACAUUCCAACUUUCUAAAUGCAUCAAAUAUUUCAUAGCAAAGAUCAUGCCAAGAACCCACAUGCAAAGUCAUUAUAUACCACAUUAAACUACAUUUAACUCAACAAGACUUUUACAUAACCAAAGAUUACUCCAAACGUUUAUACGCAUUGACUCAAAAUGAUAAAAAAUAAACUACCAAAUUGAUGAGAAAAUAGUUUAAGCUUAGAACAAUCCAACCGACGUGUUCUACAAGAUAACAACCUAAAAAAAAAAAAGAAACAAUGAGAUACGCAUAUAAUAUGUUUAGUAAACUCAUAUGAAAAGUAAAACUUACCUAGAUCAAUUGAACAUAAAAAAUUACUCAAUAAGCUAUCGAAUUAAUUUUUCCUUAGCACUUAUAUAUAUAUAGUACAUGUAACAACAUUUCAAGUCAAAAGUGUUAGAUACAAUGUUGAAUCAUAAUCCUGUCAACAUUUAAAACAUAAUCACAUAGCAAUCUAUAUACCAAAUUUCAUCAAUACCAGUUCAUUUUCAAUUCAAGACUUAAUUCCAUUUCCAACCAUUUAAUCAUCCUCUGAUGGAACUACAGUAAAAAAGACCUAGGUACAUGGGAAUAUUUUGCUGACACUGUAACGAACUUACUCACAAAAGUUGACUUUAUAUUGGAAUUGUUCACACAAGUUAACUUUGUAAUUUAUAUAAUGUAAAAUUUAAGAUUUUUAUAUUAUGUAAAUCAAAGCUUAAUAUUGCAUAACUAAUUAGUUUUGAGUUUUCAAAAUAAUAUGGCUUUAUAAAGAUAUAGAAUUCUUGAUAUAAGUCUUAACAAGGGAAAAAUUAAGGAUAGGAAAAUUGUGGUGGAAAGGGGGUCAAUUUCUCCUAAACAGGUGGAGAUCUGGAGAAGGAUAAGAGAAGGAAGAUGGUUGAUGUGAAGGCUAAGAGUAAUUGUUAAAGGUUGCUAACAGGGAGGAUCCCUUUCUCAUGAAGAUGAUUUUUAAACACCGUGUUAAUUGUUUAUGGGCCAUCAUGUUUGACGAUAAUUUUUAAAUACUGUGUUAAUUGUAUAUAGCACAUCAUGUUUGACAAUAAAUUUUAAAGACUUUUAAACGUCGCAUUAAUUGUUUAUGGCCCAUUGCCCAUGUUGCUUUUAUUAAAAUUUGGGUAAACUAUAAGUUAAUCACUUAAUUUUUAUAAAAUUUCAUUUUGGUCUCAGGAUAAAACAAAAAUUAGGAUAAAUGUAAUGUUGAAAUGAAUAUAGUGGGAAUCUUUAAUGUUUAUGGCCAAACCCCACCUCUCCUAUCCUAUACUUCAUCUAUCAUAAUGAUUCUUGGCUUCUUCUACAAUUGCCUUCACAAAAUGAAGCUGACAUUUGAGGUUGUCCUUCAUUUACUUUUGUUUUCUUCCUAUGAUAUAAAUGCAAGUAGAAUAUAAAUUAUACAUUUGUAAUUAGAUUGAAAAAUAAUUGACACUUGAUUUGAUUGUGAAAGAAGUUUUAGUUUAAUGAAAUGAAUGAGUUAAAUUUUAAAUUUAUAAUAUUUAACUUGAGUGUGAAUGAAUUUUUGACUUAAUUGAAAAUUGAAAAUUUUAUAAAUUUUGUUCAAAUUUAUUUUGAUUUAAUUCUCAUAUUGUAUAUUCUUAAUUAAAUUCGGAAUAUAUCAAUUUAGUCAUACAUUGUAACGAUGGAUUCGAAUUAUAGUUAAUUAUAUAUUGAAACUAAAAAUCUUAGAUUUUUAUCAACAUUUGCCGCCUCAUUUAUGGUGAAUGGUAUAUUUCCCAUUUGGUCCCCCUUUCUUUUUAUUAAUCUAUAAUUCUACUUCUACCCCCAUUCAAUUUAGCCCUUUUUCCUAAUUUCUCUUAAUUAAGCUAAAUUCACUUAAUUAAAGCCUAAUUAAACACACAACUAGCCUCACAAAUAUUCUUAAUAAAUACUUACGAACUCGGUUCACUAAGACGGAGGCCCUAUAACUCACUUUUCUAGUGCCCGUGAAUUUUGGAUCAUUACACCUUCUUCCGUGGACGACAUUUUUAGGCUGAGCGGUUCGAAGUAAUUAACAAGGUGAUUUUGUAAACUGUUUUUGGCUGAGUGAGUGAUGUUGG
rnacentral:lncRNA from 1 species